ensembl:lncRNA
UUCGCUGAACAUAACAGCUUUGAAACUAUGUAUAUGUAUAUGCAUAAAAAAGGAUAUAUGCCAUUUUUUUAUCUAACUAAAAUAACUAAAAUAAUAUUAGAUUAUAUAAUAAAAAAAAAUAAAAAAAUAAAAAUAAAAUGUUUAAAAUUAUUAUAUAUUAUACAUAAAAAAAUUAAAAAUGUACAUAUAAUUAAGAAAUUAUUUAAAAGGGUCAGCUUACAAUUGUUUUUAUUGUAUAAAAGUAACGACACCCGAGACAUACGUAUUGAAAUUUUAAAAAUUUUUGAAAUAUGUAUCGAUAAAAUUUUAAUGCACUACACACAAUGUAACAAAAAUAAAUUUAAUAAUUUAAUUUUAACAAAUAUUUAUGAACAAAGUAAUAAAAAUAACUAUUAUUGUUUUCAAACUGAGCAGUCAACAUAUAACUUUUUUUAUAAUUUAAAAAAUAAAAUUAAUUAUAUUUUAUUACAUGUCACAAAUGUAAGUGAUAAAGAACGAACAGAUGUUGUAUUAAAAAAUCAAGGGCCUAAAGUAGCUACCCUAAAAAUAAAUACAUGCAAUGAUAAGUAUGUGAUACCAAAAGUUAAAAAAAUGAAUGAUACAUAUGAUAUAACAGAACAAAAAGGACAAGGACAAGGUCGUAUCAGUUUAGAACCUAUAAGACACAGCAUACAAAAAAGUGUAGACACAAAAACUGAGAAUCAAAAUGAGCAAAUUAUGUCCAAUAUAUAUUUUAUAUGUUAUUAUAUAUUAAUUAAUUAUGACUUUACAGAUGUUACUGUAACAAAUGUAUAUGGCAACGAUAAGGAUAAAAAAUACAUUUCCGUACUUUUUAAUAUAUGCAAAAUUAUUAUUAAAUAUUAUUUUAUUUUAAAUAAGAAUUUGGUACUCAUGAGUUUUGUUUUUUUUUUAUCUCAAUUUUUUUAUGAUGAUGAUAUUAAUUUUUUUGCUCACAUUCAUUUCUUAUUUAAUGAUAGAGUAACUACUUUCCUCGAUAAGAAUUGUAUAACUAUGAAGCAAAUAGCGGAGUUAAACACAAUGUUACAAAGUUUUGCACAUUAUACUUAUAGUAGCACUUUUUUUUAUGAUAAAGAAAAAGUUCUGAACAACUCAGAAAGUUACACAAAUACGCAAAAUGUUACAAACCGUUUAAGAAACUACAAAAAUACGCAAAAUGUUACAAACCGUUUAAGAAACUACAAAAAUAUGCAAAAAGUUACAAACUGUUUAAGGAAUUACAAAAAUAAGACAAAAAUUUUAAAUCGUACCAAAAAUAGUGAUAAUAAAAAAAAAAAAAAAAAAAUUCAAAAUUCACAAAAUAGCCCAAACGGAGGGGACAAAUCGAAACAUUUUUAUCAUACACACAUUUUAAAAGACAAGCAAAAAGCAAUUCAAUCAAACACUUACUUUCAAAAUGAUCUAUAUUGUAUAUUUUACAAUUUUGUAAAAUUAUUAAAAGUAAAUGAUAAUAACAAUAAGCUAUGGUUUUAUAAUUGGACAAAUUAUACUAUUGAAUGCUUAAAUUAUUACAUCAAACAUUAUUUUUUUAAACAUAUGUAUAAUAUAUUUUUGCUUAAAAGACAAAAUAACAUUUUUCUUCUUAAUUUUUUAAAAGGGUAUAUAUAUUAUAGUUUUAUUAACAAAAAAAUAAACUCAAAUAAUAAUCUUAACAAUUUUUUUAUGUUAAAUUAUUUAUUAUGUUUAUACGAAAUUACUGACUGUGUUUGUAUACUUAACGAAGGAGUUUCAUUAUAUCAUAAUGACUGUAACAUAUUAAGUGAAGAUAAUAAACUUUUUUGUUUAAAUAUUUAUAAAAAAAAAAAAC